UGGGGAAUAUUGGACAAUGGGGGGAACCCUGAUCCAGCCAUGCCGCGUGUGUGAAGAAGGCCUUAUGGUUGUAAAGCACUUUAAGCGAGGAGGAGGGUACUGGUAUUAAUACUACCAGGUACUGGACGUUACUCGCAGAAUAAGCACCGGCUAACUCUGUGCCAGCAGCCGCGGUAAUACAGAGGGUGCGAGCGUUAAUCGGAUUUACUGGGCGUAAAGCGUGCGUAGGCGGCUAAUUGAGUCGGAUGUGAAAUCCCCGAGCUUAACUUGGGAAUUGCAUUCGAUACUGGUUAGCUAGAGUGUGGGAGAGGAUGGUAGAAUUCCAGGUGUAGCGGUGAAAUGCGUAGAUAUAGGAAGGAACACCAGUGGCGAAGGCGACCACCUGGGCUCAUACUGACACUGAGGUGCGAAAGCGUGGGGAGCAAACAGG
rnacentral:rRNA from 1 species